CCUACGGGAGGCAGCAGUGGGGAAUAUUGCGCAAUGGGCGAAAGCCUGACGCAGCGACGCCGCGUGAGGGAUGAAGGUCUUCGGAUCGUAAACCUCUGUCAGCAGGGAAGAACGGUCACUGGGCUAAGCAGCAGUGAAUGGACGGUACCUGCAAAGGAAGCACCGGCUAACUCCGUGCCAGCAGCCGCGGUAAGACGGAGGGGGCGAGCGUUAAUCGGAAUUACUGGGCGUAACGCGCUCGUAGGCGGUAUGUCAAGUCAAGGGUGAAAUCCCCGCGCUCAACGUGGGAACUGCCUUUGAAACUGGCAAACUGGCGUGUGUGAGAGGAUAGUGGACUUCCCGGUGU
rnacentral:rRNA from 1 species